AUGGGACAAUGCUCUAAUAAUGAUCAUCAUCACACUUUUAUUUCUUACAAACACAAUGAUGGCGUGUGUCAUAAUAAAACAAAAUGGUGGAAGUUGCAUGGCAAUAUAUCUCGGAAUGGCUAUGGAAAUGCCAUAAUAGGUAGGUAUGGUGGCUGUUCUGAGGAAGAUGUAAGGUGGCUUAUGUGUGAAAGAGCGUAUCAUAUCUCGGGAUUUGGAUGCACCGGCAAAGUUUGCACCAACUCUCAAGGUGAGAAAGGGCAAUGCACGGUACCGAAGAGGCUAGCAAUGGUGGAAGGGUGA
rnacentral:rRNA from 1 species